rnacentral:rRNA from 1 species
UACGGAGGGGACUAGCGUUGUUCGGAAUUACUGGGCGUAAAGCGCACGUAGGCGGAUUUGUAAGUCAGGGGUGAAAUCCCGGGGCUCAACCUCGGAACUGCCUUUGAUACUGCGAGGCUCGAGUCGACUAGAGGCAGAUGGAAUUCCGGGUGUAGCGGUGGAAUGCGUAGAGAUCCGGAAGAACACCGGUGGCGAAGGCGGUCUGCUGGGGUCGAACUGACGCUGAUGCGCGACAGCGUGGGGAGCAAACAGG